ACGGAGGAUCCGAGCGUUAUCCGGAUUUAUUGGGUUUAAAGGGUGCGUAGGUGGUUUAAUAAGUCAGCGGUGAAAGUUUGCAGCUUAACUGUAAAAAUGCCGUUGAAACUGUUAGACUUGAGUGUAAAUGAGGUAGGCGGAAUGCGUGGUGUAGCAGUGAAAUGCUUAAAUACCGCGGAGAACACCGAUGGCGAAGGCAGCUUACCAAGCUACAACUGACACUGAAGCACGAAAGCUUGGGGAUCAAACAG
rnacentral:rRNA from 1 species